CAGGGCCUCACUAAGUUGCAGGUGCUGACCUGGAAUUUACCUCCCUCUUGCCUCAGCCUUCUGAGCUGCUCAGAUUAGACACUGACCCUCGCCAGAGAAGUGUCUGUACCCUGCUCCUUCUGGGGGGAGUUAAAAUAAUUAGCCUUCAGGAGGUGGCUGGCUGCGUACCACCUGGCAGGUGACCACCACGUCCCCACUCUGCACACAGGAGUUCACCAGGAGCCCACUAAUGUGGUUACAGGUCGUGUCCUUGUUCUCUGACGACUGAGGCAGUUUCCAUCUUGGUCAUGUGUCCAUUCUCCAGUCAGGUCACUUGAAGCUCAGGAGGUAGAACUACUUUCCCUGGCAGGUGAUAGUUACCUGGUUCCAUCACUGUGUGUUUUGGGGGGACCCUCAAUGUGGGUGGAAAGAGAGAAACAGAAAGAGGGCCAUGAGGAUAUGACAAGUGUCAGGUGAAGAAGGCAAGUGGCAGGUGCCAGGACAGGCCCAUCCCCCAUCCUGCCUUCCUCCUUCGUGUCCCUGUUUGAAGGCCCCAUGAGAUGUGUGCCCAACCCAACAGAGGAGACCCUCAGAGUGUGGGUGUGGGGAGCUAAGACGCUGCUGUUCCCAGGCUCUGGGUGCCCUGGGGGAAGGAGGGGUCACUGCUCUCACAUCACAACACACAGAGUCAGG
rnacentral:lncRNA from 1 species